AGAGUUUGAUCAUGGCUCAGAACGAACGCUGGCGGCGUGCUUAACACAUGGAAGUGCGAACGUGAUUGGAAGCUUGCUUCCAUGAAAGUGGCGCACGGGUGAGUAACGCGUGGAUAACCUGCCCUGGUAUCUGGGAUAACAUCUCGAAAGGGGUGCUAAUACCGGAUAAGCCUACGGACUCUUCGGAGUCUGAGGGAAAAGGUGGCCUCUAUUUAUAAGCUACCGUAUCAGGAUGGGUCCGCGUACCAUUAGCUAGUUGGUAGGGUAAUGGCCUACCAAGGCAACGAUGGUUAGCUGGUCUGAGAGGAUGAUCAGCCACACUGGAACUGAGACACGGUCCAGAUUCCUACGGGAGGCAGCAGUGGGGAAUUUUGCGCAAUGGGGGAAACCCUGACGCAGCAACGCCGCGUGAGUGAUGAAGGCUUUCGGGUCGUAAAGCUCUGUCAGAGGGGAAGAAAUGGAACUGGCUAAUAUCCAGUUUUCUUGACGGUACCCUCAAAGGAAGCACCGGCUAACUCCGUGCCAGCAGCCGCGGUA
rnacentral:rRNA from 1 species